GGUAAAUCAUGUCUCCUCCUGAGAUUUGCGGAUGAUUCAUACUUGGAAAGCUAUAUCAGCACAAUUGGAGUUGAUUUCAAAAUCCGCACAGUCGAGCAGGACGGGAAGACCAUUAAGCUUCAAAUUUGGGACACUGCAGGGCAAGAGCGGUUCAGGACAAUCACAAGCAGUUACUAUCGAGGUGCCCACGGGAUUAUAGUGGUUUAUGAUGUGACAGACCAGGAGAGUUUCAACAAUGUGAAGCAAUGGCUGAAUGAGAUUGACCGAUAUGCAAGUGAGAACGUCAACAAGCUUCUGGUUGGGAACAAGAAUGAUCUUACUGCUAACAAGGUCGUGUCCUAUGAGACUGCUAAGGCUUUUGCUGAUGAAAUCGGCAUACCGUUCAUGGAGACUAGUGCCAAAAAUGCCAUCAACGUCGAGCAGGCCUUCAUGGCGAUGGCUGCUUCAAUCAAGAACAGGAUGGCAAGCCAGCCAGCAAUGAAUGCUGCGAGACCCCCG
rnacentral:misc_RNA from 1 species